rnacentral:lncRNA from 1 species
GAAAAAACUUGGGUUCUCCGUCUCCGGUUCUCCCCCUUCUUCUCCGCCCGAACCCGCGUUUGGGGAACGCCACCAAAUUCCAGCUGCUCGCCUCCCCACGCGGCCGUUGCUCGCGAAUUGCGAUCUCCCGCGCGGCCGUGGAGGCUGGGGGCGCCUGGGCGGCGGCGGGAGGCUAGGGUUAGGGGCGGCGGGAGCGGGGAGGUACUGGCCCUCCCCCCCGCUCGUGUCAGGACGGCUGCGCUAGGGUUAGCUCCGGAGGCGCCGGAUUGGCCGCCGCGGAGGGCGGUUGCAGCGGCAGGUGGGGUGCCGGGCGCCGUCGGAGGCAGUUUUGAAUGCCAUGCAAUUGACUAUUAG